AACAUCAACUGGAGUCCUUGAUUUGUGAUUAACUGAAUGCUGCACGCAGUUUUAAAGUUUGCAAAAUAACACUUUCUAGUCAGAUGAUCAAUUGCUUUAGAACUAGAGCACAAUGUCUAAAUUUAGAACAUUCGGUUAAUAAUUUGGUAUACGAGUCAAAUUGAGUGAUCAUAAUGAAGGUGAAAAAUACUGUGUUUGUCAAUAUCAGCUGUGAAAACGCCAGUGAAGUGUCAUAACAAUGGUUGAUAGAAACUGAAAAUUCGCUCUAAGCGGUGGUUCCACCAUGAUUUAGGGGUGUCUAGAAAGGUAGUUUAUCCAGGAGUCCCAAAUUGAACAGCAAAAAUGUUGCACGUUUUCCAAGUGGAUUAUGGGAGAAUGAUGAAACUCGACAUGAGUUUGGCUAUGACCAGCGUGGGAGUACUCAAGAAACAUAUCCAUAACUCGUAUGGCAUCGAAGCGGAUAAGCAAGUUCUACUCGCCAGCGGUGGGUCCACCUUACAUAACGAUUCAAGUGUCUGUUCGCAUUCGGCUGGCACUGAUUCCAGUCCGAUUUUUCUCUACGAUGAAAACCUGAUAUCAAAUCCAAUACCUCCGACUAUUAGUUCACCGUUCGAAAAUGCGGAAAAGG